ACUAAACAUUAAUUACAAGUUGCCACAUGAUAUGGAUAAUUAUAUGGAAUAUCACAUAAUGGGUUCUGUGUCGAAAAUUCGAAUGAAACCAGGGUGUAUACCCACUAAAUUUGAAUGCCAAGCAGAUAGGAGAAAACGAGCAUCUGAUAUGACCGAACGACCAUAUACUGUAAAAAAGCAAAGACAGGAAUUAAUUCAAGAUUCUAUAAAAGAUCUGGAAGAUAAAAGUAUUGUAAAUAAAGCUAUAGAGUUUGGAGAGACAUCAUCAAGUUCCGGUACCAAUCAAUUUUGAAUCUGUGCAUGGAAAUACAGAAAGUAUUACACAAGAGAAAAAUAAGUCUGCAAAUAAAUCCAUCCAAGUUUACAUCACACACAAAUUCAGGAGCAAAGGAGCAAAUUAGAACCUAUGAUUAUUUAACCUCUUUUUGUAUGAUCAUAAUUAAAUAGGAAAAAAUAAAAGU